UGUUGAUGCAUGUUCAUCACAGAAACGUGGUUUCUCUUGUGGGAUACUGUGAUGAAGGUGAUACUAAAGCACUUAUUUAUGAAUAUCUUCCAGAAGGGAACCUCCAACAAUAAUUAUCAGAUAAGAACCCCAUUUUUUUGGAAUGGACGCAAAGACUUAAAAUUGCUAUGGAUGCAGCAAAUGGGUUGGACUAUUUGCAUAAUGGAUGUAAGCCACCUGUAAUUCACAGAGAUUUGAAAACAUCCAA